rnacentral:ncRNA from 1 species
GUGUUGUAUGGAAGGAGACAAGGAUGAAAGAGGCCCUUGGGCCUGAUAACAGGCAAACAGUUAAGACUUUGCCACUUCAUGGCAUCUAACCACCAUUAAAA